rnacentral:lncRNA from 1 species
GUUAAAGAUAGGACGCUUUUAUUUGUUGUCUAAUAAUAACUAAUCAUUAUGGUGGUCUUGCUCAAUCAAUUUUCUUAGUUCUCUUGUUUGCUAAGUUGGGAGCUUUUCUCAAAAUUUUCCCAGGAUAAAAAAGAUUUCAUCAUUGUUUCAGGUAGGUGAAGAUCAGUUUGGUCAUAACUCAUAUACUAGCUGAUGAGUUAAAAAAGAAGCGUGUUAAUAAUUCAGGUAUCUGUUUUGAUCCCAAAGGCAAGGACAGCCUUGGCCUCCUGUCAACUUAAGAUCAGAUGGUGAGGGUGAGCUCAUGUUUCCAAGUGCUGAAAAUGCUCCUUACUGAAGAAGAGCUAGCCAAAUAUCUCAUACAGAAGGUAAAUAAUUUCUUUUAUGCAAAAUCGAUUUGAUCUUCAAGAACACACAAACUAACGAUGCAACUGUACUAUUAAAAUUAAGGAUCUACAACUUAGAGAUAAGCCUAACCUCCCCGUUGUCAGAAAUUUUUCUUGUUUUUACAGUUUUGAGGUCGGAGAUACUCUAGCAAUUGAACAAGAGCCAAGCAAGAAAGUCAAUAUCCAUGAUGCUUAAGAUUUUCUUUCGUUAUACAGUUGUUCCAUAAAUAUGAAAGCAGCUAAACUUGUGCUUAACUUCAUAAAGAAAGGAACUUAUUAAUUAAGAGUGUCAAUCAAAGGAAAAUAUAAUACACAUCCCAGUACAAAUCAUCUCAGAAGUGAUCAAAAGUUCCAUCAGCUGUGCCCAAGAGACAUAUGUCUUAUUAGUUGCUUGAUAAAAAAUUCACAAUUAUUUAGCAGGAAGACCAUUUUCACAAUUGGUUAUAUACCCUUAACAGCAGAAAGACCAAAAGAUUGUUCACCUAUUAAUUCUGUAAGGGACGCCUUAUUCUGCACUCGGGUGGUCCGAUGAAUAAUUCAGUCUCCACAUCUGAUUUUUCACUACUCUCUGUACAAAGAGCUUCACCUUCCUUUUCUCCACUUGAGCCUUCUCUCUGUGGAAGGCCACCAAACUAAAACAAGGCACGAGAGAAUUACUACUUGCCUUUAUUAUGAUUUUAUACUCGACUAUGAGCUAUUGAGUCGAAAGAGGACUUAAACUAAGGAAAAGAAAAAUAUACCUUCUCCCUCAGUAUUGCAUUUUCAGAAGCAAGGAUUUUCUCCUGGAUUUGUUAGACAGGAAAGCAGUACAUUAACUAGUAAAGCAGCUAUUGACGGACAGAGACAAUGACAUGCAACAAUAAAGUCAUGCCAUACAUAAGUAGUUUCGGCUUUGCAAUUUGAGUUAUCUUGAAUUGACUAUGUAAAUGAUUGCAUUAUGCAUAAAUUGUAACUCAAAUAAUUGUAUACCUUCAUGGGAAUUGCAGCUCAAAAUAAAUUAAUAACUGUGGGGUUACCUUUUCUUUUAGUUGUUCAAUUUGUUCCUUAAAAACUUGAAUCUGAAAAGAACAAGCAAAGUAAAUUAUAUGAUAAGUUUGCAAGACUUCAUAAGAACAGAUCAUUUCUUGGACUUAUAUGAAGAAACCUUUCGUGCUCGGAUGGUACUGACACUCCGCUCCAACUGUUUUUCUAUCUGUUGUAGUUCUCCAAGGGUACAGGACUGCAGACCUUCUCCUAAGAGUUUCCUGAUACAAACUCCACUUGUUUUAGAAGACUUUCAAACUUACAGGAAAGGGAGAGAAAUGACAAUGAAACAACAAUGCAACAACUUUUGGAUUGGGGUUUGUUGAACCUUUUAGAUUCUUCAAGGAGCUCUAUCUUCUUCAUCAAACUUGCUGCCUCAUGCUGCAUUAUUGUGUAAGCUACAUUAAGCCAUUAUUACAUUUUAUGAAAGAAACUAAUUGCUUGUCGAUUCACCCUAAGGAGAAGGCAUUACCUGCAGAUUCUGCUCCCCAACUUGGUUUUCAGGUUGAACUUUGUCUUCAGUGUGCCUCUUAUAUCGCUCUAUUAUCUCCUGCAUGCUGCCAAUUUCUCCCUAUUAGUCUUUUUUUUUUCUUUGAAUAAUAAACCCGCGGGCAAAUAGCAUAAAGAAUUUUGAAUGACAAGUAUUCUAUUAAGAACAUAAGCAAUUCUUGGGCUCCUCAUGCAGUUGAUGAACCCACAGGCAAAUAGCAUUAGAAUAGACCUCCGUGUGAUCAUUCAGCUUUGGCAAUUAAUCUAGUACAGAAGACUUUGGAGUGUGGGAAAACAAGUAUGUAUCAAAUUACCAGCGUUUAACAUAAGACUCACUGGAACUACUACUUUUUUCGCAUUUCAUUAAUUAGACAGUUGCACUUCCUCAUGCUGACGUGCAAUAUAAUGCAUCAGAGAGGCACGUACAAAGAAUUACAGCCGUAAAUCUACAAAAAAAUCCAACUAAAUGAAGAAUCUAUAAAAUCCUAUAUACAGCUAUCUAAUCGUCUCAGGUAAUGGGAUUUUUCAAUUAGCAGAAUCCUCCUACCAAGCAGUAUAAUGGGCAAAUUUCCAAAUCCUAGCAUAAGCCACCAUGCUCUUUGCAAAAGUAGGAGUUGAUCCUACGAUGCACGGCCACUUACGCGAGGCAUUUUCUUUGAGCAGGAGUCUUCAACAUCUUUCAACUGAUAGUAGUGAGGAGCUAUUUCUACAAGCCAUUCUGGUUUCAGUUCAGUAACCUGCCGAAUGUACUCCUUAGUCGUCAGGACCAGCUCGUGGUAGACAACCCAUCUAGGAAGCCCCUGUGCUAAACCAGAUCUGGGGUGAAUAUAAACAGUCUGGGGAUGUUUAACAGUUCUAUAAAAUCCGUUUUUUUGCAGUCUUGCUGAGUGUGGGAAAAAUCCUGAUGCUAUAGACUUCUUUAUAGCUUCCGGGUUAGGAACAUUUGAAGUCAACUCAAUUUCCACUCUUUCUAGCAGGCCUUCCAACUGAUCUCGGAUAUCCCUAGCUCUCUUCAUGCUUCUAACCUGAAUGUAGUUUUCAUAGCACCACCCUACUGAAAAGUUUGUUUCCUUCCAGGAAUUGUAAACAUUUAGCAGAGCGAUAUGAUCUCCGACGUUGCCCAUAUGAAAAUUCAUCCGUGCGUUGUCUGCGUGGACUUGUUUGUCCUUUGGACGAU